UCGAACGAGUUCUCGUUGAUGAUCGGUGCUUGCACCGAGAUUCAACAUCCCUUGAGUGGUGGACGGGUGAGUAACACGUGGGUAACCUGCCCUUAAGUGGGGGAUAACAUUUGGAAACAGAUGCUAAUACCGCAUAGAUCCAAGAACCGCAUGGUUCUUGGCUGAAAGAUGGCGUAAGCUAUCGCUUUUGGAUGGACCCGCGGCGUAUUAGCUAGUUGGUGAGGUAAUGGCUCACCAAGGCGAUGAUACGUAGCCGAACUGAGAGGUUGAUCGGCCACAUUGGGACUGAGACACGGCCCAAACUCCUACGGGAGGCAGCAGUAGGGAAUCUUCCACAAUGGACGCAAGUCUGAUGGAGCAACGCCGCGUGAGUGAAGAAGGCUUUCGGGUCGUAAAACUCUGUUGUUGGAGAAGAAUGGUCGGCAGAGUAACUGUUGUCGGCGUGACGGUAUCCAACCAGAAAGCCACGGCUAACUACGUGCCAGCAGCCGCGGUAAUACGUAGGUGGCAAGCGUUAUCCGGAUUUAUUGGGCGUAAAGCGAGCGCAGGCGGUUUUUUAAGUCUGAUGUGAAAGCCCUCGGCUUAACCGAGGAAGCGCAUCGGAAACUGGGAAACUUGAGUGCAGAAGAGGACAGUGGAACUCCAUGCGUAGCGGUGAAAUGCGUAGAUAUAUGGAAGAACACCAGUGGCGAAGGCGGCUGUCUGGUCUGUAACUGACGCUGAGGCUCGAAAGCAUGGGUAGCGAACAGGAUUAGAUACCCUGGUAGUCCAUGCCGUAAACGAUGAAUGCUAGGUGUUGGAGGGUUUCCGCCCUUCAGUGCCGCAGCUAACGCA
rnacentral:rRNA from 1 species